UUUUUUUUCCAAAAGUGACUACUUCCAAUUUAUGCUUAAACUUUAAAAAUUCAUACGUUAGGCUCUAGUUUCACCUAUCUAUUUUUAGGGUCGCUACACGUAUUUUGGUUCAUAAAAAAUGAUGAAGUCUAAACACAAAAGUAAUCUCAUAUUUAUGCAUUAGUUCCCUGUUGAAAACCUUGACUUCAAGUUACUUGUUUCCUUUAGUUUAGCAUCGCAGCUCAUCGUAGAAUCUGUCAUUGAUCGUUAGUAUGAUUAAAACAAAAUCUUAAAGUUUAGAUUUAAAUUUUUAUCUUCCAUUAUAGUUAAAAUUUAGUCCGUGUCUUUCUUUAAACCUCCUUGUAUUUGCUCGCAUAUAAGAAGGCUUAGCAUUAACCGGUUAUUAUGAUCAAGUCAUGGUGUAAUAACUUAAGUUAGAUUCAUAUUCUACUUCAUGUUUAAGAUAGUUGUAUCCAUUCUUUGACUAAGUGAUUCAAUUUGAUUCUCUAUUCUUUCAGUCUCUGUUUUCAAUUUUCAAAAUGAGCCAAUGAUAUCUUUUUGUGAUCUGCCUAAAUUAAUAAACACGACUGUAUGUAUGUGUUAAUUUAGCUUGAGCAUGUAGCGGAAAUGUAUGGCAUGAGAGGUCAAGUACUGGGAACAUUUGAUCUCUUCUUUGGUUUUAUAUCACCUCCCUAUGGAGACUCUCUAUCACUUCCCUUUUAAAAUGACAAAUGAUAACUUCUUAUCUUCCCAUGAAUUCUUCCUUCUUCCAAAGUUAUUAGUUAAGUUGGUUUAAAUUUGGAAUUCUCUCAAACCAUUCCUAUAAGUAUACCUUGUGUGAUUUAUGUUCCAUCUUAUCAUUGGCAUCCUGGUUUCUUUCAAUUAGGAAUUUAGUACGAAUGUCCUCCUCAAUUACUUACUAUAUUCAUGCAAUUUAACCGGUAACAUGUGUUAUGCUAAUUAUUUUCUUUUCUUUAUUUCACAUGUACACUUGGGAGCGCAUUUGGAGUUAUGAUACGACUCCAUUUAUCUGCCCAAAUCAGAUUUGUGCUCGCCUACAUUAUCGCUUGUGUCUAGCAACCUUCAUCGCGUCAAUAGUGCCCUACACUUCCUCCCCACUUCAAAUUUCACGUGUUUUAUAUAUACAUAUAUGUGUUGCUAUUUUGACUAACAUAUUUCCACAUUAAUGUUUUAUAUUUAUAUUUAUGCUUGCUUUAUUUCUGGGUUUAUAGAAACCUAUUGAGAGCGAUAGUAAGACGUAGUCGUUCGUCUCCACCCCUUUAGAUAUUUAGUUUAUUAUAGUUAUUUAAUUUAGAAUAAAAUUUUUCCAACUAAGUUUAUUUGUUACUUAGACGCAUUUUUGCA
rnacentral:lncRNA from 1 species